rnacentral:lncRNA from 1 species
ACUUUCGGAUAUCACCAAGUUGAGCAGUGGCCCUGUGCGCUUGCAAACCGUCAACGCACGUCCCGCGUACCGCCGUCGAGAGAGAGUGUUCCCCGGUACUAUCGGUACUGUCACCGCAACCAGCGCCACGCGGCCCGCGGACUCUCGACACCGGGCACGCAGAGCCUUGAACGCUUGAUCAGUGACACGGUGUGCGGAACCCGCGAAUAUACAACCCACGCACAUACGUACAACACCUAACCUACCACACCUUUUUAAAAUUAAGGCAUCGGUCCUGCUCGAGAUUGUUGUAUUUAACAAGAAAGAAAAAAAAAAAACAAAAAAUAAAUUAAUAAGUAAAAAUAAAUAUAUCAAGCGAUAAGUAAAUUUAAACCAACGAUCAUCAAUCGGACCGGCGGACCAUCAAUUAUUCUCGACUGUGCAGGCUGUGCACCGAUAUUGUAUAAAAUAAAAAAAAAAAAAAACAAAAAAAAAAAAAAAAAACAACACGCGGUACGCAAAAAACCUUAUCUCCUAAUCGUUAUUAUAUAUUAUAUCGAUUGUCGAUUUAUAAAUGUAGUACAAACAUUUAUCAGACCUGCCGAUUCGUUGCAAAUUUUCACUCUCAGUAAUCUCUAUCUGUGAAAAAGUAUCACGAUAUCUAUUGCAUCAGUAUAUAUAUAUAUACAUAUAUACAUAUAUAUAUAUGUAUAUAUGUGUGUGCGUGUGUAUAUAUAUAUAUGUAUUCGUGACUUGUUGUAGAAAAGGGUGAAACGAAGACAAAAAAAAAAAAAUUAAAAAAGAAAAAUAACUCAUACUCUCAGACUGCAUCAAUAAUUCACUACAACCACCACCACCACCACCAGCCCUAAUCGAGUGUGCAGUGUGUGCGUGUUCCUUUUUUGUGCGUGGGUGUACGUGCGUGCAGGUGUAAAAAAAAAAAAAAAAAAGAAAAUUUCUUCUUCGAAGGAUACUGUAAGGAUAAAAAAAAAAGAUACGGUAAACGGAAGAGAGUAAUAAGAAAAAUGAAAUUUCUUUUCUCAAAUUACAGUUCUUCCUCUUCUUCCACGUUCCGUCUCGUCGUGAGAGUGGAAACUUCGUCGCGUGUUUGAAUGAAAAAGAGAAAAAAAAUGAAAGAUAAUCGAGAAACGUGAAUAGAACGUAGGAGGAUAAAAAAAAAAAAAAAGUGUAACGUAAAUAAAUUAAAACGCGUACAACCGUAUAAUCGCUAAAUAAGUAACUAAAGAUUUUACGAUGUGAGGAUUAUACGAUAGUUGUUCUGUUGUAAAGAAAGAGGAACUAACGCGGAGACGAAGGAUGAGAUUUAAAAUUGAAGAUAAUAUAUAAGUAAAUAAGUAAAUUUGAACGAACACGGAUGAAGAUGAACAAAAUAUACGAAUUUGAUUUGUUGUUUUGUGGUGGUCUUCGGAAUCUUCGGAUUCGAUAAAUCGCUAAGGAUAUAAACUGAGAUAAGAAACACGUGCAAUAUACGAAGGCCUUUGAGCUGGGGAAAAGUCCACGGCUAAUGCGCAAAGAGGAGAAACGGAAGAGAGCAGAUAAUCACCGACACUGUCGACUACUACAUUAACGCACGGAUCUGGAUAAGCCAAAUAGAGAAAAAAACGGGAGUAGAUUUAGGGAUAAGGGAAAGGGUGAGCUGCGGGGCGAACUAGCCCUCUGGCGUGCUUCGCAAGGAUGCAGCUCUCAGGCGGGAGCAGGAGAAGCCGAAAGAUAAGAGCGACACCUCCCGCCCGGUUCACGACUUCGUCAACGAGAAAAACAGCGAUCAUCCCGAUCGGGUCGAAUCAUCAAGAGUCGACAACAUUAACGAUACGACAAAAAGUUCCAAAACACCACCAGCUGCAAGCGUCGACCCCCCGCCGCAAGGAAAAGUGGGGAAAGAAAUAGGGGGACGACGCAGGGAGCCGGGUACCCAGGGGUCGACGUCGCGAGCAGGUGCGAGGAAGAGACGAGGAACAGGCCUCGAUUCGGCGGCAGCGGCAGCAGCAGCAGCAGCAGGAGGAGAGAGGAGGCGGAGAAGGGAAGCGAAGUCGUCGUCAGAGGAGGGGGGUGGAGAAAAAGGCGGCGGCGUCGGCGGCGGCGGCGGCGGCGGCGUGAAGCAGGGGGAAGGAGAAGGAGAAGAA